rnacentral:rRNA from 1 species
GGUUGAUCCUGCCAGUAGUCAUAUGCUUGUCCUAAAGAUUAAGCCAUGCAUGUCCAAGUAUAAACCUUUAUACGGUGAAACUGCGAAAGGCUCAUUAUAUCAGUUAUAAUUUACUUGAUGAAGACUUGUUACAUGGAUAACCGUGGUAAUUCUAGAGCUAAUACAUGCGAGAAGGGGUGACUUGGUCACUCUGUAUUUAUUAGAUAAAACCAAGGCAGGCAACUGCGCAUGGCGAGUCAUGAUAACUGGGCGGAUCGUAUGGCCUUGAGCUGACGACGCAUCAUUCAAAUUU